UUGCAUCUUCUGCUUCGGGGUUUUGAAACUGAGGACAGUCAUCCCAGAUCUGAAUGUCGGUACUUAAGAUGAAUUCGAUGUGAACCGGUCCCUCGUGGUGUGAUGUACCUGAUGUGCCUAGUGACAAGGUGUACAUAACCUCACAAAUGAGAUAGAUCACACCGUACAACCCAUCGAGAUCGGCUGACAAUAACCUAUAUUUAGCAGUUCGGCUAAGCGUCUGUUUGCUUUUUCUUUAGAUGCGCAUGUUUAUUCGACUAUGUUAAUAACUUGAUUGAUUAUAACACGCAGUAAACUUGGGGAGGUGAAACAGGCAACAACAAACAGUGUACAUGCAUCAACUUGACCUAUCACCUCACUGCCAAGACAAGGGUAGUGUUUGACCAAAUUACAGUUAUUGCUAAAGCCUUCCUUUCCGUAUUGCAUACCUGAGCUUCUGAAUUCACUGUGACCUAAAUACGACAUAGUGACCCGGAUGUUGAUCUGUAUGCUUGCAGUUGAACAACAGCGUACAGCAGUUAUGGAUCAGUGCCAGACACUGUUCAUAUUGCUUUGUGUACAUUGUAAGUUGUAUCAGUGUCAUUCUAGUAUGUGGUUAUGUGAAUAGUUUAACUUGAUAUCAGGUUCUGACCGUGUUGGUGUGGACGUAAACACAAGGAAGUGCGUCCCACAAAUAAUGAUCCUUUACCAUCACGUUUCUAAUAUGUAGCUGUAUGUCAGUUAUCGUAGAACUAGUUCCAGUCAGAUACUGUUGCUGUUUGUGGUAAUCAAGGGAAUAGACUGUCAACAAACAGAUCGGACACCACACUAUCAGCAAUGCAGUACACCCGUGUCAGGUCGGACGUCAUACCACACAAGGAGGUCGACAGUGCAAACAGUGUGCAUCUAACAGAUGAACAAGUACCUCACACAUACUGUCUGAUCGAACACUGUUCAAAGUGUGAAGCGGCAGUUGGAAUGUUUACAGAGCUUGUCUUUUCAGAAAGCAAUGUCUUGUCAAUGGAAAUGAAUGUCACCUACCUGUAUGGUAUGAUGGGUCACGAGAGAUACGAUAAGAGGAAAAGGCGAGAAAAAAGGGACAAAAAAAUUCAGGAACUGGCUAAGAACGUGUCAGCACUGCGUAAUACAAACGGUGGAUGCGUACUGAUUCAUCUUGUUGGUUUAGCAUCAGAGGAUGUUUUCACUGGUGCGUUUGAUGAGUUUGUCGAUGUAAAACUAAAUAACUUGAUUCAGGAUGGUAGCCUGUUUAGCGAUGUUUAUAGGAAGGAACGACUAAGCUGUCAUCCACACCUAAAACACCUCUAUGACUUUCUGUGUCUUUACGUCAGUGCAUCUUCCACAGUGACAACUUCAAACUUUAAUACAAAGAUUGCUCUUGAUGACUGCAUAAUAGAACCGACGGCAGAAACGCUACGGAACUUCUUGAGAAAAAGAAGACAGUUCACGGAGACCUUCCACAGACUUCCAGGAAUCAAAUGUUCCGCUGACCUUGAGCAUCUACACGAAAGCAGGUCAUCGAUGAGGACGAGAACGAACUCCGUGGAAAGAAUGACUGCAUUGAAAAAGGUCGGCAAAAGAAUUAAAUCAAAAACAAAUCAGGCAAGCUAUUCUCGAAACGUUCGUAGCCUUACGAACUUCUUAAGCCCAUUCUUAACACAUUGACUACGACCGAAGUUAAGAAUUCUUAGGGCUACGAACGUAUCGAGAAUAAGGGCCCAGAAGCUUUAUUGGGGCCAAGACAUGUAACAUGUAUGUAACCGUAUUGUGUCUGUGCAUGUUCAGUGUACAGUGUGGGAAAUUAUUGUAAAGUAAAAGAUCUAUUGACCUAUCAGGAUUUGUGGACAUGAGACUGCUGAUCGUGUAUGGAACAGAAGCAAUUGUCAAGCUCUUGUUGGGGUUUUUUCAAAUUCGCUGUCAAAUAUGAAGUAUGGACCCUCUGCGUUAUGUCAGUUUUACAUCCCUCUGCACUGAAUGUAUCUCCUCUGAUACAGAUAAGCAUGUGAUGACAGUUCAUCUAUAUUUUCAGACGGCAGUAUUGUACAUAAUGUUGGACUAGCAUCCCGGCCUCAGCCCGUGUCGUGUCCUAAACUCCACCUGGACGCGGCUCGGGCCAACACCAACGAAUGCCACGUAACGACAGACGGCGAGCUGGUCAACUCGCGGC
rnacentral:misc_RNA from 1 species